CAAAUUAAUCUUUUCCUCAUCACUUACAGCACCCUCACCAUUUCGGUAUGGAUCAGAGGGAAGUUCAUUUAUGACUUUGAGUUUGCACUGGUCAAAGUCAUUUACUUUUUUCUUCUCAGCAACAGCAACAUCCACUGCACCAGAAUCAUUAAUUUCGUCACCACUGUGACUUACAGGCAGAGAACCCAUUUCUAGAGCAAGCUGCCCAACACUUUCAC
rnacentral:misc_RNA from 1 species